AGAAGGCGGCGUCGUUAAUAGCGGCGUUUGUUUGUACGUUAGCGACAGAAGAAGCACCGGCUAACUCCGUCGCCAGCAGCCGCGGUAAUACGGAGGGUGCGAGCGUUAAUCGGAAUUACUGGGCGUAAAGCGCAUGCAGGUGGUUUGUUAAGUCAGAUGUGAAAGGCCCGGGGCUUAACCGUACGGAAUAGCUAUUUAGUAAACUGGCAGACUAGAGUACUGUAGAGGGGGGUAGGAAUUUCAGGUGUAGCGGUGAAAAUGCGUAGAGAUCUGAAGGAAUACCGGUGGCGAAGGCGGCCCCCUGGACAGAUACUGACACUCAGAUGCGAAAGCGUGGGGAGCAAACAGGAUUAGAUACCCUGGUAG
rnacentral:rRNA from 1 species